rnacentral:lncRNA from 1 species
NNNNNUUCAGUCCUCCCAGUGCACACCAGUGCACACCAGUGCGCACCAGUGCAAACCAGUGCCCCCAGCACCUCCCAGCGCAAACCAGUGCCCCCAGCACACCUUCCAGUGCACACCAGUGCACACCAGUGCACACCAGUGCCCUCAGCACCUCCCAGUGCAAACCAGUGCCCCCAGAAUCUCACAGGGACCCCAGCACCUCCCAGUGCACACCAGUGCAAACCAGUGCACACCAGUGCACACCAGUGCCCCCAGCACCUCCCAGUGCCCCCAGAAUCUCCCAGUGCCCCCAGCACCUCCCAGUGCACACCAGUGCAAACCAGUGCACACCAGUGCCCCCAGCACCUCCCAGUGCAAACCAGUGCACACCAGUGCCCCCAGCACCUCUCGGUGCACACCAGUGCAAACCAGUGCCUCCAGCACCUCCCAGUGCGCACCAGUGCAAACCCGUGCGCACCAGUGCCCCCAGCACCUCCCAGUGCAAACCAGUGCACACCAGUGCGCACCAGUGCACCCAGCACCUCCCAGAGCAAGCCAGUGCUUGCAGAGCAAGCCAGUGCCUCCACCAUUUCCCAGUGCUCCCAGUGCGCACCAGUGCCCCCAGAAUCUCCCAGUGCCCCCAGCACCUCCCAGUGCACACCAGUGCGAACCAGUGCCCUCAGCACCUCCCAGAGCAAGCCAGUGCCUCCACCAUUUCCCAGUGCUCCCAGUGCGCACCAGUGCCCCCAGAAUCUCCCAGUGCCCCCAGCACCUCCCAGUGCAAACCAGUGCACACCAGUGCCCCCCCAGCGUCCCCAUUGCCAACCAGUUCGCCGCCCAAUCCCCCAGUUUAACCCAGUGCCCCCUUUUCCCUGGGCCCGUGUGGCCGUACCCCCUCCAUCACGCCCCCCCAGUGCCCCCCCAGUCCCUCCCAGUGCCCUCACCUCGGGGUGGGCGAGGGUCCCGGUGGGGUGGGGGGGGGUCUCAGCCCACCCUCAUGGCUCAGCCCCCCACGACACCGGCCUGGGGGGGCGGAAAAAACGGGGACAGCGUCGCGGGGGGGGCCGGACACCCCCCCACAGCCCCCCCCCAUA